rnacentral:lncRNA from 1 species
AACCACAACCCCAUCAGAAUUAGAACAAGACUUGUCCACUAGCUCCUGAAACACAGGGUGGUCUAUAAUGUCGGAGUUUACAAGGUACUGUCUUCUAGACUUGCCAACAUAGAUAGUGUGGAGUCCAUGUUGUUGUUGUUGUUGUUCUACUUCAUUGGAGGAGGAAGAGGAGGCGCCGCCUUUGUUGGAGUCAGUGCUGGCGGCGGAGACACAGCUGUUGUUGCGGCUGAGCUUGGUUAAUGAUGGCCACCUCUUGAUAGCUGAUUUCAGCUUUGUUAGCUUUCCAAGUUUGGCCAUUUUGGAAGGUGUUUGAUGAAUGUCUCAGAGAGUAGAGAAGAGAAGAAAGAGAGAGAGAGAGAUUGAGAGUUUGGGGUGAUGGGGGAAGGUGGGAGGGAAGGUUCAGUUAUAAAGGGAGGAGGGUACUUAAUUAGAGGGAGGGUAAGAGGGUAAAAACACGCAUGGCCCACUGUUUAGGACACAGCUAAGGAUGAUGUAUUUGGUGGAAAUAUAGAAAACCAGUUGCUCUUUUUCUUUGGCGUUUUGUGUUUGGGGUUACAACAGGAAAGGUGAUAAUCACCUGCAAAAUUCUUUUAUAAAUUUUAGAAAGUUAGAAAUAAAUGGAUUACUAAUAAAUAAAAUAUGUUAUGAAAUAUUUAUUUUUCUUUUUUGUAAUGUGGGAGAAUUUUCUGGAAAAUAUAUUAUUUUUUGUGCUACAAAUGUUUAAUGUUGUUACAAGUAAUAUGAGAUUAUUAUAUGAUUUAAAUUUUAUUAUUUAUAUAUUAAAAACUUAAAAUUAAAUUAGUUUAUUCUAAAUCGCGAUGAAGAACAUGAUCCUGCAUCCCAAAAUGAUUAUAUUUUCCAAUCUGGUUUCUUCAAGUAAUAUAAAAAUAUUAAUUUGUAUUUGUAGAAUUUUUCUUCUAAAUUAAGUGACAUUUUUCAUUGAAUAGGAAUAGAAAAUUAGAACAAGAAUGGAAAGAUAUGAUCUUUGUAUAUGAAUGAUAUCAUCAUUCUUAAACCAUGUAUUGUUUUCUCCACUUUUCAGACAUCAUCAUCUAGCACCAUUGUUACUAUUGUUUUAAGUUCAAGGAUUUUGUUAAUGAGGGUCAUACAAGUAAAUUAAUUUUGGAAAUUCAAGUUAAACAAUUUUUUUAAAUAUUAAAUAUGAGUGUAAUACUUGUAUAUCAUAAAGAUUAUAUAAAAUUAGUACAUAAUAUAUUAUUUAUUUAUAUUACUUUUUUGAAGAGUCAAUGAUAAUUUAAACAUGAAUGAUGCAUUAUACAGUAACAAUGUAUAAAACUCAUACACUGCGAGCAUGUAUAUUUUCUCACUUUUCAAGGAAAAAUAUAUACAUAACUAAGAAUGUAAGAGUUUUUACAUUAUCACUGUAUUGUCUAUCAUUCAUAUUUAAUACUCUUAAAUAUAAGUAAUGCAAAUGAGUAAUAAAUUAUGCAUUAAUUUUGUAUAAAUAUUUAUACUGAUAAUAUAUAGAUAUUAUACCCAUAUAAAUUUACAUUUUUAACUCCUUAAACAACUUGCUAGGAUAAUUGUUAACCAUAUUAUUUGUGUAAUCAACUUGUACAAUAUAAGAAAUCAUGUUAUCCUGGAUGUAUAAAAAGAAAAAUAUAUUUAAAUUAUGAAUUUUUGGAUUGGGGCAUAAAAAUUAAAAUAACAUAAGUUCAUUAACUUUUUUCUUUCUUUCUAGAAUCUCUCCCACCGGAGAGGAGUAUAUUAAUCUGGAUUGAGACAUGAAUGAAACAGAAACUCUACAAAUCAAAUUCAGAAAUUCAUCAGGUUAAAUAAUUCAACCAUCUUAUUGAAUUAAUACAUAUUAAUUAAGUUUAUAAGUUUUAUUUUAUUUUAUAGGGAAAGACUUGUAUAUCCCGUGUCCCUAUUGGAUACAACAAAGGAAAUAACAUUUACAAAGAAAUUAGUCAGUAACAAAAAAUGUAAAAUUCGAACUCCAUAGUAAAUGUAAAGCAUUUUUUUAAUGCAAUGUUUAUUAAUACUGUAUCAAGUAUUACAAUAGAUAAGGGUAUAUUAAAUGUCGGCCACUUUAAUUUCAAUAUAAAUGUUACAGGGCAAGACAUUAUAAUAAUAAAAGUACGAUAAUUACAUUUUUCUUAAUCAACAUGAACAUCGAUCAUGCAUCAUCAUCAGCAAAAAGAAACUUGCUGAACAAAUAAACCAUCCCAAUCCUCAAGCAAACAAGGUAGCACAGCUCAAUUUUUUGUGGUUGUUUUUGUUGUUGGUACCAAAAGCCUAGCUAUAACUAUAUAAUCUCCACUUUCAUAAAAUAUAUAUAAGAAUUGAUCAAUCUCAAUUAACAAAGUCGCUCACAAUUAAAAAAAAAACAAAUAAUUAAAAAGUCAGUUACUAUUGUUUGUUCUCUCUCAGCAUGCACAAUUGUAGAACUCAACCAACUCAUCCAUGGACCCCAUCUGAGUCUCAUUGCUCUCAAGCAUCCAUAGCAAGUGCUCAAACAGAACCACUUCACAUGAAACCACAACCCCAUCAGAAUUAGAACAAGACUUGUCCACUAGCUCCUGAAACACAGGGUGGUCUAUAAUGUCGGAGUUUACAAGGUACUGUCUUCUAGACUUGCCAACAUAGAUAGUGUGGAGUCCAUGUUGUUGUUGUUGUUGUUCUACUUCAUUGGAGGAGGAAGAG